rnacentral:tRNA from 1 species
GCGUUCGUGGUGUAGUGUUCAGAACGCUGGACGCAUAUUCCAGAGGUCCCUGGUUCGAGUCCCGGCGAAGGCG